rnacentral:miRNA from 1 species
GGUGGUUUUUCUCUGCAGUGAUA